GACAGAGGGUGCAAACGUUGUUCGGAAUUACUGGGCGUAAAGCGCGUGUAGGCGGCCAUCUAAGUCGGGCGUGAAAUCCCACGGCUCAACCGUGGAAGUGCACUCGAAACUGGAUGGCUAGAGUCCUGGAGAGGAAGGUGGAAUGCUUGGUGUAGAGGUGAAAUUCGUAGAUAUCAAGCGGAACACCGGUGGCGAAGGCGGCCUGCUGGGCAGUAGCUGACACUGAGGCGCGACAGCGUGGGGAGCAAACAGG
rnacentral:rRNA from 1 species